rnacentral:rRNA from 1 species
AUUGAACGCUGGCGGCAGGCCUAACACAUGCAAGUCGAGCGGAGCGGCGGACGGGUGAGUAAUGCCUAGGAAUCUGCCUGGUAGUGGGGGAUCACGUCCUGAAACGGGCGCUAAUACCGCAUACUAUCAGAUGAGCCUAGGUCGGAUUAGCUAGUUGGUGGGGUAAAGGCCUACCAAGGCGACGAUCCGGAACUGGUCUGAGAGGAUGAUCAGUCAAACUGGAACUGAGACACGGUCCAGACUACGACGGGAGGCAGCAGUGGGGAAUAUUGGACAAUGGGCGAAAGCCUGAUCCAGCCAUGCCGCGUGUGUGAAGAAGGUCUGCGGAUUGUAAAGCACUUUAAGUUGGGAGGCGACAGCAGCCAGCAGCCGCGGUAAUAC